GGUCAGAUUUAGUUAAAAAGGCUAGCAAGAAUAAACGUUUUUUCAUAACCAAAUCAACAGCUAAAAUAUCUUUGUCUUUCUCUUAAAAUAUCUAAAUGCUUGUUUACUUUGCCACUGUGUACAUUAACUUGCAUAAAACUAACAUUGCUUAUUUUGAAUUUAUCCUUAGAUGAGCUGACCGAAAGCCCAGUGUCCAUUCUUGCAUCUGCAGCUGUCAUUUUCCUGCAGGGGGAAAAAAAAAUGUCCCUGUUUUGUUUUUAUCCACAAACGAUGUUCCCACUGGACAAAUUUUGGAAGAUCAUUCAUACUCCCUGAAAUGUUCAACCACCCAUUGUAGCAACAAUGUCAUCUUUCCCUGUAGAGACCUGUUGUGUGAAUUAUCAGUUUUUGCAAUUAGUAUAUAGUUUGUUUUCAGUUUACUUAUUUUAUGAAAAUAAAGAUGUUUACUACA